AUCUUGUGGUAAGGACAUUUACAUAAUAACUCUUUGAAUCUUUCCCAUUCCUUAUAUAGAGAUCCGUCAUCCAUUUGCUGAAAAGUGGUGAUCUCAUUUAGCAACUU
rfam:Gossypium hirsutum cultivar TM-1 chromosome 15, whole genome shotgun sequence